ensembl:lncRNA
GAGAAGUGACAUGCUCUCCAUGUGGGAAGCAAAAGUUACAUACUAAACCCCUGAGAAUGAUGAGCAGCUGCUGUAAGCAAAUAUUUGUACGCACCUGAGCAGCCUCUCAUUUGAGGACCUCUUCAAGUGAAGUGUGGGGCUUGGCUAAGCACUUUCUGCACAAAUCCAGAUUUUUAUUUUUGGCUGGAUUUACUUCUCCAGCUGUGGAAUAAACUGCUUGGUUAUAAAUGUUAGCCAUUAACUAUGGCAGUUAGCACAAGGAAAAUUGCAGUCAUAUAACAACACAAGAUAGAAACGACUUCUUGCCUCUGUGGCAUCUCCGUGAGCUGUAAAGAAUAGAGAGGAAUUCUGCACUUAACCUCAAGGACAGUUUGGUUGGUUUGCAUCCCAGCCUUUACUAGCUCACAUUGUUUUAUAUCAUGCAGUAUCAAAAGAAAAAGGCAUUGGUGGAAGAAGAGGGGCUGCCUGACAAACUGGUGCCUGACGUGGCAGUGCAUGUGAAGCAGAGAUGCUGCACUGAACUUUUGGCAUUUCUCAAAUGAAAAUUACUACUUUAUCAAGACCUACCACUGGUCUUUAUUAGUGAGGUCUCACUUCCUUAAUGACUGCCUGACAAGUUGUUCACUCAUGAUCUGAUGGAUUUGUUCCCAAAAACCAGCAUGCAGCUCCCAAGCAAUGAUAGAAUAUGUAUCCUCUUUUUGAACUGAAUAUCUUCCCCCUGGAACAUAGCCUUUUGCAGCUCUGAAGGGUCGUUAUAUUGAAGUCCAAACAAUGGAAAUGCCUCAGACUUCUUAUCUCUCAGGAAUUUAAUGCAUUCUUUCUCUUAGAAGCACCACACUUCGAAGUGAAGGAACUGAAGACUGAGCAGUGAACAUGAAAAAUCACAUAUUCUCCAAAGACAUAACCAGACUUGAAGUCAGACUGACAUGGAAAGCAAUUCAAGGUCUCUGUAUGCUUUCCACUUCAAGUAAUUGGUGGAGAAGAGGUUGUGAGGAAUGAUUAGGCCUUGACCCAUUUUCCUUUGUACUUUUCUGCGUGGUGAUCCAAGUCAACCCUGUAUUGAUCCCAAACAAAAUAAUGCUAUGGCUGAAAUAGAAUUCGAAAAAGUGAACUAAGGCAGUAUAAUUACUAACAGUCUGUGUGGGUUUACAGAAAACAAAUCUUGUCAAACUAACUUAAUAUUUUUUAUGAGAUUAUAGAUUUUGUUGACAAAGGUAUUUCUACUGAUGAAAUGCACUUACAUUUCUGCAAGGCAUUAACCAGAGAAACAGGACAUUUCAAAACCAAUCUGGAAUACUUAAAAUGGUCUUAAGCCUGACAAGCCAAAAAGUCUAAAAACAAGGUAGGAAGCCAACAAAACACGCAAUAUGUUUUUAAUUAGGUUGAGACACAAAGCCAUCAAGAGCAAAGAUUUCAUGUCAACAGCAAUAACCCCUUUCUGGGAAGCGGUAACAAAAUGUUUAGCAGUUGAACCUUUAGCUUAGCCAGCCUAACAUUCAGAUAGCUUUGUUUUCAGCAUUAUGAAUCCGUAUUACUACUGUCAUGAUUAAUAAAAAGCACAGAAGAAACUGGGAAGACCUGGCCCUUCACAAGUUUUUCUUCCUUAAAUGAAAAUGGAGUCAGCUUAUGAGUUCACUGGCCUUCUAGCACAUGGUCUCUACUAGUUUUGUUUAGCACAUUAUAUACAUUUCUUCAGUUUGGUGAAAUCUCUCAUUGCUCAUUCCCUAUUUCACAUUUAUUCUACCACCCAAGCAUUGAAACUGAACACUCUCUUCAUAGUCCUACUGAGUUACAGUAUUAACACCUCAUACUGUAUCCUCUCCCCUCAGCAAGUGUAGGUAAUGCUAUAACUUCUUCUGUGCCAUCAGGAAAAAAAAAAAAAAAAACACUGAAAAAAGGACGUGUCCAAGAAAAAUACAUUUCAGAGCCUUAUAUACCUUCUCAGGUUGUUGUUAAUAACUUUUCUUCAGUUGUCCAGGUAACAAGUAAAUAAAAGAAUAUUAAAAAAACAGACAGAAUAUUUUUAGUGUAGUAUUAAUUCAUAAUAUAACUUGUUUGUCCAGGACCAUAUCCACAUGAAAUUGGAUAUAUUUUUAUAUGUUUUCUGGAUAACACCAUUGUGAGAAGGAUCAUUAACAGUUCAAGAAUAUUCUGUCUCACUGUAAUUAUAUACUUAAAUAAUUUGAUAUUAUAUAGCUAGUGAAAGCUGCUCUCUUACCAGAGUGGAAAAAAUAGAGCCCUUCACAACAGGAAAAAUGAGGUUUAGUGGUACUGGUAUUCAAAUUCAAGCACAUACUUAAAUCUUUGCAGAGCUGAGGCCUAGGGUGGUGGUUAGUUUUAUUUCAGAGAUGAACAGGCAGUCAUCUUGUUGGAAUGACACAAAGUAAUGGAAAUGCAUCAUGCCAUCUGUUGGCAAACCACAGUGCUGCAGCCGGAAGGUUUACAAAACCAUGCCGCAUGUUAUCACCACCAAGCAAAUUAGAAGAAAUCAUAGGGAGUCCUCACAAACAAGCAAGCAUAUAAAAGAGCAAUUGCCAGAAAAUCUAAAUUUGGUUUUCCCUUUAUUUGCACACAUCUGCUAACUGAACACAUUGCAGUUUGAUUACAUAGCCAAAUUACCUUUUCCUAGCACAGCUACUGUUGAGAGAUUAAUUUCUUCCAAGUGUGAGUUUUUGUGCAUCUCUGCAGAUACACUAGAGUAGAAUGAAUUGGUAUAAACAGUGUCUGUGGUCCUGUGGUCCUGAUGAUUUCCCUGUGUAAGACAAUGCUAUCAAAAUAUGACUAGAAUUAAUUAAUUUCUAUUCCUAAUAAAUGUAUUUAAUGAAAGCUUUCUAUUAAAAUUGCCACCAUUAUAUAUGUAAAUUGUGGUAUUAUGGAAUUAUAGAAUCAUUAAGGUUUGAAAAGACAUUUAUCAACAUCAAACCCAGCCAUCAACCUGAUCUACUGAGUCCCAUCACUAAACUAUGUCCUUUGGUGCCAUGUCCAGGAAUGGGGAUUCCAUCAUUUCCCUGGGCAAUUCAUUCCAAUAUUUAGCCACCCUCUCUGUGAAGAAACCCUUCCUGAUAUCCUAUCAAAACCUCCACUGCAUGAACUUGAGACUAUUUUCUCAUGUCCUGUCUCAUCAUCUGAGAAAGAAGACUGAAAUUCUCCUCACUGAAAAAUAUUUUCCUUGGAUUUUUUUUUUUUUUUAAUUAUUAUUGUUAUUAUUUAAGCACAAUAGAAC